GACGAACGCUGGCGGCGGGCUUAACACAUGCAAGUCGAACGGAAAGGCACUGCGUGUGUGGGGUUCUCGAGGGGGGAAGGGGGGAGGAAGACGUGAGUAACCGGCCCUUGACUUUGGGGUAAGUUCAGGAAACUGGGGCUAAUACCGGAUAGGAUCUCCUGCUGCGGGGUGGGGGUUGGAAAGUUUCGGCGGGUGGGGAUGGACUCGCGGCUUAUCAGCUUGUUGGUGGGGGAGGGGCUUGCCAAGGCUGGGACGGAUAGGCGACCGGGGAGGGUGAACGGCCUCCUUGGGCCUGCGAUACGCAGCAGUCUCGUACGUGAGGCAACAGUGGCGAGUCUUGCCCAGUGGGCGCGAGCCUGAGACAGAGGCGCCGCGUGCGGGAUGACGGCCUUUGGGUUAUAAACCGCUUUAGCCUGUGACGAAGCGGUAGUGACGGUACUGAGUAAAGAAGCACCGGCUAACUACGUG
rnacentral:rRNA from 1 species